UUUUCCUUUCUAUUGGCUGUUUGUCGCCAGUGAUCGUGCACCAAAGUUUAUCCUCAAUGCUACAGACAAAGUCACAGUCUGGUCUCAGAGAGUUGGCAACAUGGCCUUUGAAGAUCCAGAUACACUUCCAGUCAAAGUCUGAACCGGUCAGGAUAAAACUAUACAGACUACACACUGCAGAUUGGGCUUAAAACCCAAACUGGUACAAAAUGGAGACUUCAGACUGGGUUUAAAAUGCAGACCGAGGCCUAAAUUGUCGCAUUGUUUAAAAAUAGGUACCCAAUGGGUACAUGAGUCUGUGUUGCACGUAUUUGGCGCGUUGCAAUUAGGCGCCGAUUGAGA